GUUCUCUCAGGAUUGCACCUGGAGAGUUUCCAGGACUCUAUCAGUUUUGACUAUGGGAGGAAGAGUUAAGCAGAGGUCCAUCCAUUCCGUUCCUAGUUUGGGCAGUGGCUAGCAAGUGGAAGCCAUUCUGCUUUAAGU